AUGGAGCUUUAGACACCCGGCAGAUCACGUCAAAAACCUUGAACUAACAAGUAAAAACGCAGUGACCCCUAGCCCAUAUGUCUUUGGUUGGGGCGACCGCGGGGGAAAAUAAAGCCCCCAUGUGGACUGGGGGCACUGCCCCCACAGCCGAGAGCUACAGCUCUAAGCACCAGAAUUUCUGACCAAAAAUGAUCCGGCAAACGCCGAUCAACGGACCG
rnacentral:rRNA from 1 species